GUGAGGAAUAUUGGUCAAUGGGCGAGAGCCUGAACCAGCCAAGUCGCGUGAAGGAAGAAGGAUCUAUGGUUCGUAAACUUCUUUUGCAGGGGAAUAAAGUGCAGGACGUGUCCUGUUUUGUAUGUACCCUGAGAAUAAGGAUCGGCUAACUCCGUGCCAGCAGCCGCGGUAAUACGGAGGAUCCGAGCGUUAUCCGGAUUUAUUGGGUUUAAAGGGUGCGUAGGUGGUUUGAUAAGUCAGCGGUGAAAGUUUGCAGCUUAACUGUAAAAUUGCCGUUGAAACUGUCGGUCUUGAGUGCAAAUGAGGUAGGCGGAAUGCGUGGUGUAGCGGUGAAAUGCAUAGAUAUCACGCAGAACUCCGAUUGCGAAGGCAGCUUACUAAGCUACAACUGACACUGAAGCACGAAAGCGUGGGGAUCAAACAGGAUUAGAUACCCUUGUAGUCC
rnacentral:rRNA from 1 species